UAUAAAAUAUUUAUUUUACAUAUAAAAUGAGUGGAGGGGGAAUCGAAACUUUCUGACCAGAUUGGGAGUCGGGGGGGGGGGGGCGCCCUGCGGUGCAUCAAGGAAAUAAUAUGUGUCGCCUUGCUUAAGACGUGUCAGUGUCGCAUAUCGGCUGUGUAUGAUUUUCAUUAUACCACAUUCUGCUACUAUUUACACGAUUAGUGAUCGAUCGCGAAGAUGACGACUUUGACAGAACAUAACUUUAUCGUAUGAACGUCACGAUGAGUUAUGGUUAAUCGAUCAUUAUCAUGGAAAUUUGAUUCAAUUUAUUGUAACAAAGAAAGAAAGAAGUACGAAGAGAACGUGUGUGAUUAUGCGCAAUGCGGUCGAUAGAAUCAGUGUUUAUUAUCAUCAAGUUGAAUUAGAAUUGUACGUGGCGUCGUAAUAUUCGAGUCAGAGUUUGCCGAUUGUCAAGUAAACGACUACAUUGAUAGUCUUUUCUUUUCCUUUUGCUUUAUAUACAUCUAUGUAUGUAUGUAUAAUCUCAUUUCUAAAUAUUCACGUAAUGCUUCAAAGUCAGUGCUUCUCUCAAGAGGAUUCAACUUCCGCAGCUGAUCGAAAAUGUAAGUGCUUUGCAUACUAUUUUUUAAUUUAUAUUAUUCCCUGUAUUUUUCAUUCGAAUUAUUACCAAUCGAAAGACAUCGUUCGAGAAAUAAUCAAUAUUUGUUUUCCUGCCCAAGUAACGUCUGAAAGGUUUGAAUUUAAAUUAUAGGAUAAAAACGAUUAACUUGCUUUAGACGUUAGAGUAUUAUAGUCUCAAUUCCUAGAUUUCAAGCUCGUAAUUCGGAAUUAUUUUAAACGUUCAUUGAUCAAAAUCUUUUAUGUCACAAACACUGUAUUUUUAAGAAAACAUUGUAGUAUUUCGUAUUUUUCUGCUGUACAUUGAGUCGGCAAUGUUAAAGUAGUAAAACGAUAAAGAGGCUGUAGAGUAGCCGAAUUGUAGAACAAAAAGAAGCAUCGAACGGUGUCUAUUCUAGUUAGUCCGCCGCAUAAUUUCUACGGCUUGGUGUUACCUUCAUUAUCUCCAUUGUUAUCGGCUUAUACGAUCACGACAAAAGGGUGAACGCCUCCCAUCGUUCGCCUUCAUGGCGAUAGACGUCUGUCAACGCUUCCUCCACCUAUCCUAUCGUCGUCGACGUAUCGCAAUGACGUAAUUGUGCGGAAAAGCGUCUCGUUAAUCAAACGUUACGCAUUACAAGAAUCGAUAGUUGUCUCCCUUGAGCUUUGUUCCUUUCUUGCAGGUCAGAUCUUCGUCAGAUCAGAACGAUCGUCAGAGUUUCGCUACAUAGAGCACACGGUUAUCGUCCGUUUCUUAGCUUAUCGUCCGUAUUUCAGACACGAGAGUACAACUUUACCGUUACUUUUCUCGCUUUUCGGAGAACGAAAGGGGCGAUCGCAACCGUUUCAUCCAUGAUUAUUUCCACUUGCAUCGUUUGCCCUCACACGGUUGUCGAGUCGCACAGGUCCACGUAUAUAUGCUGGUUUCCGGCUAGAAAAAAUCACGCAAAUAUUUCUUGGCUAGCAAUCUUGUUGCUGUGUCGUUGGAAUGGACCGACCGAAUGCACUGGCCAUUCAUGCAGGACUUCAAUCGAUGAAGCGAAUAUCGAAAACGUUCCCCUGUGUACGUGGACCGAAUUGAUUGAACAAGCGCGCGCACAUAUCUAAUUUACGUGCAAGCCGGGUGGAAGGCUGGAAAAACGUCGCGGACGUUGUCGAUGAAAGUAACCAGUUGGCGAAUGGAAUUGCCUUGCUGUGCGCGCUUUCCUUUCUGACCGGUCAAUAUGUACCGUCGUGAAAGAAAGAAACCGACUAAUGAAAACAGUUUUACGAUUAAUAGCUGUAAUUUUCCGUCGACAAGGAGCCGCGCGGAACUUGGUUAACUGAACGCGUUCAACUUCUGCCAGUUUUCUAUCUUGCGAUAAAUAGAACGUUACGUCGCCAUUAAGACGAAAUUCGAGCGGAACAGGGCAGAGGUGGAGCAACGCGACGCGACGAGAAAGAAAGCUGGAGAGAAGGAUCGUGGCAGCGCGACUGUUCGAAACAGAAGAAGAGACAAGAAGGACGGUCUCUCGUGGCUGUACAAUUGAGCCUGAAAUCAGGCGAAAUCGAAAAAUUAAUCGAGUCGAUUCUUCGUUGAAUAGAAUCGAUAUGAAUUCUCUUGGAUUGGGUUUUGUGUCGUCUUCGUAUUUUCAGUUUUUCUUUGCAAUCCGAGCUCUCCAUUCGUCGCCGACGAGAUAAAGCGAUGCCCCAAAAGAGCAAUUUAUCGCCCUCACGCCUCGCUAUCGCCUGCUAAUUAUUCCCGCUACCCUGUCGGAACAAUAAUGUUCUGUAACGACGCUUUAUUGCGAAUUACGCGUGAUUUGUAACGCACGUUCCGUUACCGCUACCGUUGCCGGCAAAUUAAUUCUAAAAUCGCGCAUAAAGAGCAUAAAGGGAGCCAUUAAAAUAAGGACAACGCUGUUUGUUGCCUUACCGAUGACAAUUUAGUUGGUAUUUGUGCAAGCGUGGGAAUUAGCUAAACAAUCGGGGCGAAAGAUUUAUUAGUUACGAGGAUAUGUUUGCGCGUAUAAAAUUGGGACGGUUAGACUCGACGAUGAUGCAUCAAAACGUCCAGCCAUUUUUCACCGUUCCUUACAAACUCCGGAAUCGAAACUCUGUUUUCCACGGUGCUCGUUUGUCUCGGAUUUUCUUCAGGCUCCUUGGCAAGUCGUUAACGAAUGUUCGAAAAAAAUUUUAAUCAUUUUAGUAGAUUAGACGAUGGGGUUCGUGCGACGGCACAGUCAGCGUCCAGCGGUGCUGACCGAGUUCACGAUCCAUUAAUUUCUCCCUGGACGAAGCAGAUUAAACGGAAAGAAAGAGAUUAUACGCGGAUGAUUAAAAUCCGAAUGGACAAAGACGAGACGCGCGGGCAGAUGUGACCGAAUGCGGCGCAGCGUGUGCGUUCACCACUAGCCUCGAGGUUUCCACAGCUCUCCGCAAUAACCGGUGAAUUUGCUUUUAGGUAAAUUGUCAUUUAGCGCUCACCGCCGAACCAGAAAACUACCUUCGCAAUCCGUUAUUACCCACCGGAAGUGAAUUACAUCUACUAAUUAAUUUACGAAGGUGAAUCUGCUGCGGUGGCGGUCGUUAUAUCGAUCAAUAAAUUGAAAUUGUGAAAACAUCUUGCUAUGGCCGCAAUUAAGAUUAUUUGUCGAAACGACAAUGCGAAUUAAAGCCAAUUCCGAUAAUUUAUCGUUUGUUCUCUGUUGGAUGGAACUCGGUUACCGUUUUAUUCGUAGGGUGAUCGCGUGCACCGAGAUGCGCGCGAGGAGAGAAAACACGAUGGACUCGCGAAUACAAACUCGGAUUACGUACACGUGUACGGGAAGGGAAUACGUCGAAAAAAUUACGGUGCAGGUACUAAUUGGGUCGUAUAACGCGCAAUUCAAAUAAUUUCGCCGUUCAUAUUUAUCGAAUGUCACUGUGUCGCUCGUCACUGUGAAAACGCG